UACGAAGGGGGCUAGCGUUGCUCGGAAUCACUGGGCGUAAAGGGUGCGUAGGCGGGUCUUUAAGUCAGGGGUGAAAUCCUGGAGCUCAACUCCAGAACUGCCUUUGAUACUGAGGAUCUUGAGUUCGGGAGAGGUGAGUGGAACUGCGAGUGUAGAGGUGAAAUUCGUAGAUAUUCGCAAGAACACCAGUGGCGAAGGCGGUUGGCUGGGCCGUUGCUGACACUGAUGCGCGACAGCGUGGGGAGCAAACAGG
rnacentral:rRNA from 1 species